rnacentral:tRNA from 1 species
UCCGGGAUCGUCUAGCGGUAGGACAGCGGGUUCUGGACCCGCCAACCUUGGUUCGAAUCCAAGUCCCGGAUCCA